UCCCUGGUGGUCUAAUGGUUAGGAUUCUGCACUUCCACUGCUGUGGCCCGGGUUCAAUCCCUGGUCAGGGAA
rnacentral:tRNA from 1 species